rnacentral:rRNA from 1 species
GGUUAAGCGACUAAGCGUACACGGUGGAUGCCCUGGCAGUCAGAGGCGAUGAAGGACGUGCUAAUCUGCGAUAAGCGUCGGUAAGGUGAUAUGAACCGUUAUAACCGGCGAUUUCCGAAUGGGGAAACCCAGUGUGAUUCGUCACACUAUCAUUAACUGAAUCCAUAGGUUAAUGAGGCGAACCGGGGGAACUGAAACAUCUAAGUACCCCGAGGAAAAGAAAUCAACCGAGAUUCCCCCAGUAGCGGCGAGCGAACGGGGAGCAGCCCAGAGCCUGAAUCAGUGUGUGUGUUAGUGGAAGCGUCUGGAAAGGCGCGCGAUACAGGGUGACAGCCCCGUACACAAAAAUGCACAUGCUGUGAGCUCGAUGAGUAGGGCGGGACACGUGGUAUCCUGUCUGAAUAUGGGGGGACCAUCCUCCAAGGCUAAAUACUCCUGACUGACCGAUAGUGAACCAGUACCGUGAGGGAAAGGCGAAAAGAACCCCGGCGAGGGGAGUGAAAAAGAACCUGAAACCGUGUACGUACAAGCAGUGGGAGCACGCUUAGGCGUGUGACUGCGUACCUUUUGUAUAAUGGGUCAGCGACUUAUAUUCUGUAGCAAGGUUAACCGAAUAGGGGAGCCGAAGGGAAACCGAGUCUUAACUGGGCGUUAAGUUGCAGGGUAUAGACCC